AACAACACAUCUUUUCCCCAAUGUUCAUCCCCACAUCAUCAUUCUCAACAAGUAUUCUCUUGUCCUUCCUUGAUUCCAAUUUUUCUUAUAGGAGGUCUUUUUGGGGUUUCAAUGGCUCCAUGACUGGAUUUCAAGAACUGAGCCAGUGGUGAAUCUUCUUCUUCUACUUGUUGAUGCUGCUUUCCUAUUAUAGAUCUGGUGGGGUUUCAUUUCUUACUAAUGGAGUUUCGACUAGAAACUUGCCUAAGGCAAUGAUAGCGAAAACAAUGGAGACGCUGAUGGAUGGUUAUAUGGAAGCAAGUGCAAAAUCGUGAUGAAUGACGGUGAGAUCUAUGAGAUUUCUCAGAUUCAAAGUUAGAUUCAUCUCCUUGUCUUUCUGCUUUAACUCCAUCUCCAUCGCUGCCAUUUCCAUCAACUCGUUGUCAAGGUCGAUUUUUAAUUUCCAAAAGGCUGAGGCACGGAUAUCUCGCUCUCUCUAAGGAGAUUCAAGUCCAAUGCGGCAUAAUCAACACUGAUCCAGCAGUAAUACUCUUGACUUGUCUCCUCCAGGAUGCAACAACCCAACAACAUGUACAACUCAAGCAACUCCGAAUUAGUUGAAGAAUCCAAAGCUCCACAAAAAGAACACCUUCCUUCAACAUAUAAUACUCGCUUUGGUAUAUAGUGAAUAUAGUUGAAGACUUAGAAUAUUAUUCUUUGUCUCAACUCUCUCUUUCACUACUACACUAAUUUCAAUAUAAACAUAAUAAAAUACUACUCAUCUUUUUUCUCUA